CUCGCUUUCGACGAGUCUGAAUAGGAAAGUGGAGAGACAUUAACCGAUAAUACGUACACAUCAAAAUGCGUUUCCAUACGAUUUCACUAGCACUGGUCUUGUGCGCCGUCUGCACCAUGGCCCAGGACAAAUCGGCGCUCAAGGCGGUCUCCGAGAGCAGCGAACGCUUCGCCACGAAAUUUUUCAAGACGGUGAGCAAAGAGAACGACGGCAAGAACGUGAUAAGCUCGCCCGUGAGCGCGUACUCCGUCCUGUCGAUGGCGGCAAUGGGCGCCGGGGGCAGGACCGCCCGGCAGAUGCGCACCUCGCUCAGCCUGCCCGCCGACGACAGCGUCAGUCUCCGAGGAAUGCAAACCCUCAUGGACGAGAUCAACAACGUCAAAAACGUCACUCUCGAGAUGGCCAACAAGAUGUACGUGGCCAAAAGCUUAAAGGUAAAGCCCAGCUUCAACGCGCUCGCCACCGACUCGUUCCGCUCCGAGGCUGCCGAUCUUGACAUCAGCAACCCGUCCGCUGCGGUCAAAGAAGUCAACAACUGGGUGGACCAAAAGACCCACCACAAAAUCGAAAAGAUCCUCGAAGAUGGAGACAUCGACGGUGACACGCGCAUGGUUAUCUUGAACGCGGUGUACUUCAAGGGCAAGUGGGCGAAGCCUUUCGAGAACAAACAGACCGAAGACAAGCCCUUCUACUACAUGGAGAACAAGACCAGGAAGGAGAAGCUGGUGCCCACGAUGUACGUCAAGGGUGACUUCUUCUACGGGGAGAUGCACGACUUGAAAGCCAAGUUCAUCGAGCUGCCCUACCAGAACAAGGACAUAAGGAUGGUGAUCAUCGUUCCCGACGAAGUCGACGGGCUGAGCAAAGUCGAGCAGAACCUCGAGGCCUUCAACUACAACAGACUCACCACCAUCGGCUUCAAACGCGAGGUCGAGUUGUACAUGCCGAAAUUCAAGGUCGAGAGCACCCUCGACCUCAAGGCCGUUCUCGAGAAGAUGGGUAUGACGGACAUGUUCACCGACUACGCCAACUUCAGUGGUAUCUCCGACCAGCCGAUUAAAGUAGGAAAGGUCCUUCAAAAGGCAUUCAUCGAGGUGAACGAGGAGGGCAGCGAGGCCGCUGCUGUCACGGAUAUGUCAGUGGUCCUUCUCUCUUAUAUUCCGGAAGAAAUCUUGAAAAUAGAUAGACCGUUUUUCUACAAAAUCAUUGAUAACAAGACCCAAACAGAUAUCUUUUCUGGUUCCAUUAAAAAGUUGUAACGCUAAAAUAUAGUUGAACCUUUGGGUUUCCAUAGUAUUUAAAUCAUAACAGCCUUAGUAGGAUCAGCUAUAACUUCAGUGCAAGUGCGCCCCCUACCAUUAACACU
rnacentral:misc_RNA from 1 species